GACGAACGCUGGCGGCGUGCUUAACACAUGCAAGUCGAACGGUAAGGCCCUUCGGGGUACACGAGUGGCGAACGGGUGAGUAACACGUGGGUGAUCUGCCCUGCACUUCGGGAUAAGCCUGGGAAACUGGGUCUAAUACCGGAUAGGACCACUGCCUGCAUGGGUGGUGGUGGAAAGCUUUUGCGGUGUGGGAUGGGCCCGCGGCCUAUCAGCUUGUUGGUGGGGUGAUGGCCUACCAAGGCGACGACGGGUAGCCGGCCUGAGAGGGUGACCGGCCACACUGGGACUGAGAUACGGCCCAGACUCCUACGGGGGGCAGCAGUGGGGAAUAUUGCACAAUGGGCGCAUGCCUGAUGCAGCGACGCCGCGUGAGGGAUGACGGCCUUCGGGUUGUAAACCUCUUUCAGCACCGACGAAGCGCAAGUGACGGUAGGUGCAGAAGAAGGACCGGCCAACUACGUGCCAGCAGCCGCCGUAA
rnacentral:rRNA from 1 species